rnacentral:lncRNA from 1 species
UCACGCUUACAAUUGCCACGACGGCGGUGCCAAAUAUUUGAAGCCCUCCCACGGCGGUGUCAUGUUUGCAAAAUUCUCUUCCUGUCGCCCUCGUGCUAGCUCAACUAGCUCGGCUGCUCGGCUCAAACUCUGAGAACUAACCACCACCAACCGUGUCAUGGGAAAAGAAAAGACAAGGUCAAGGCUGCGUCCUUACCUAGACCUACUGCCCCCGUCGUCAAGAUUCUCCUCCAUUCGUGGACUCGACCGCGACCGCCGACUUGGUCCUCGCUUGCUUGACAAGGGAACGCGGCCGUGCGUGAAACUGGAGGGAAGCAACAAAGCAACGCAUAUGAUAUGAAGCUGCGGAUGCUCCACUCAGGUCACACGCUCCUCCCAUAUCAUCCUGUGCCCUGUCGUCGCUUGUCGAAAGCUCUCUCCGCAUCCGCUUCACGUCAAACGGGUGAAGGUCAGACUCGUUGGGUGCAUCUGGCUACCGAUGAAUUUCGAAAAAAAAUCUAGUGUAAAAUGCUGUUUAAACAAUGUUUAUAGGAUUGUUGGCACCCGUGUAAUGAUGCUGACACCAGCGAAUAUGGAGGACAGAGCAGCGUGUUCUUUUUUUCUACGUGCCACGCGGACCUUCUCUUGGGCUAUCGUUCGCCCCUAGCCGUCACAUGGUGGCACCGGUAUCUCAGACUCCUUUGGCCACUGGGGGUUCAGACUGUCAAAUCACCUGAUCAUUUGCACGGCCAGAGCCAGCCCACUCAUCAGUGACUGACAGCACGGCGCAGAAAUUCAUGUGCAGUGAUUUGACUGAUCUCGUCACGCACCUGCAGGGGCACCGACGCACGCACCGUGCCCAUCACGGACUCACGGUGGGGGAGGCUGCUAGUGCCACUGGCUGUCCUGAGUCGAGUCCUGUGACGCCACGAAGCGAACCAAACAGCAACAGUUGACCCGAGCCACCGGCAGAUAACUAUCGGCGAACAAACAAGGCAGAAGAAAGGAGGAUAUCAGAAGACGGUUGUAAUUGCAAGAAGCUGCACGAAUCAAAAGAGAGUUGCUGGAGUAAAAUCGGCGCCCAUGCCAGCAGAAGCGGCGAAACUUCCACCCCCACCUUCCCCUCCUGCUGCGUGUGUAUACAUAUUUACUCGCCCCGGCUGGCUCCCACCACCUCACUCCAUUCCUGACGGCGGUUUGACCUUCUGACCGGAGGGAGAGAGAGAGAGAGAGAGAGAGGAGAAUCAUAGCUGCUGCGUUCGAUUUGCGGAGGGCUGGAGGGGACGCGAGACGGGACAGGACGGAUCUUCGACGGAGCGUUGCCCGAUUCGUCGCAGUUCCCGGACAAGGGAGGAAAGGCGUGGGAAGAGGGAGGACGCGCGUUGGUCUCCGAUCCAAGAGGUAAUCUCUCCGCCUCUCGUGUCGGCGCAGGAUCCGAUCCUGACUUUCCGAGGAGUUUUUCAGGGGGAAAAAAAAGAAGGGUUUUCCUUGGAGGCUACCGAGCGCUACUUCGGCCGUGUGGGUUGAUUCGUACUCGUGUGGUUUGUUUGUUUUGCUCGCUCGCUCGCUCGCUUGCUUUUACCGAGUGAUCUGAAUGAUGUUGACUGUUUAUCUGAGAAGGUAGCGGCUUAUCAAGGAUUUAAUAAGGUUCCACUCGUGGAUUUGGAUUUUUCUGGCCCCCUCUUUUGGUCUGUCCUAGUUUGUUAAGGUGGCUUCGGUUCGGACAUUUGCUUGCAAAAUUGAAGCGCCUUUGACGUGCAGAAGUAGCGAAAGUGGUUCGAGUUGCAGCGCUCCAGUUUUUUUUUUCUUUUCUUUUUUCUUUCCAUUCACGGUUUAUCGUCAGAACCGGUCUGGUUAAAAGGCAAAGCUUAAUAUCGUCGCCCCCCUCCCCCUUUUUCAGCUUUGUUAACACCAGAGAUUAAAAGAUAGCGCCGUAGCGCAAUGAAGGCACCAUCGCUACUGGUUCGGUGUUUCCCUGGCUUGCUUCCCAGCAAGGACACUAGUUGUGUGCCAAUUGUGUCCGAGAAGGAUCUGCAGCUACCAUCACUAGCCGUUGAAAUAAUUCCCUCAAAGGUACAACACCCCCUCCCUCCCCCCACAGGCCCACACCCAAUUUUUGGUUAUUAUUUGUAUAUUGGACUCUGAAAGGAGAUAUAUUUUUUUUUCUUCUUUUGCAGAAAUCGUGUUAGUGCUAGUUUAGGAACCACAAUUUCCCGAGGUAUUUUUAUUUUCCUAUGGGAAAAUGAACUAAUUUCCCUUGGAAAAAUAGAAAUUCCUUAGGAAAUUGAGGUUCCCAAAUUAGCACUAACACGAUUUCCCCUUAUCAUUCCCUUAUUUUUUUUCAGAGUGCUCACCCGUACAAAUAUGCUGGAGAGAAGGUUGAUGUGCAAGGUUUUGAUAUUUUCAAGGUUAGCAGUGAAUACAGCUUGCUCUGUUUGUUUAGAAUUUGGGUUGGGAAUACAUUUUUUGUUUGAUUCUGCUAGCCAUCAUGCUGUUAAUUCUAACACUCAAUUUUUCUUACAUAUGUUUUUGUUCUUCAGGGUAAAGUUAGUGUAGCAGAUAUGAUAUCCUUCUCACCUUCUGAAGUAGCAUCAUCAAAAUAUGAUGGUAACCUUCUAUCAAAUAAGCAUACCACACUUAUGUCCCUUGUCAAUGCAUUCUUUUUUGUGUCAGAAAAGGUUUAUCAUUGUAAUCUAACAAGAGAACCUACUCUUUUUCCGCAGGAGCUCUGAAAAGCUGGGAGAAUUCUAUUACUCUUGUCAACAUUAUUCGAAAUGAGAUCCGUGAUGGCCAGUUGAGCUUCAGGGGCAAGCGGGUUCUAGAGGUAACUCCUGUGAGAAAACUUACAUAUCUACCUUGUUAUUUCAUCUAAUUUGUCCUUACGACUGACCUGCUUGAUGUAUGUAUGUUCCUGUUUUUAUUUUUCAUAAGAGCACUCUGCAUGCUCCAGCAGAACAAUAUGGAUGCAUGCUGCAUGAUGAUGUUACUAGUAUUAGAGAGUUUGAGCUUGAUAUUUAGCUACUAAAUGAAACUUCUAAGUUAGCACUAACAAACUGAUCAGUAGUCAUAUACCCCCUAUGGUCAUAAAAACGUGUCGUUUAAGACAAGAUUUAGUCAAACUUUAAGAACACAAAUAUAUAUAUGCACUUUUAAGUUAUUUAGUUCGAAAACAUGCAAGUAUAUAUGUAUAACUGUAUGGAAAGAACACUUGCCAAAUCUUAUAAACGUGAAGGAAUUCUAAGAACAUAUUCGAAAGAAGUUAGUGGUCAAAUAUAUGCAUCAAAGGCCAUGCAAAGUCAAAUGUGACUAGUGUAUUUUUGACCGGAGGGGCUUAUACUUUGUCAAUACUUAGCCUUGGACUUUUAGCAUGGUCAUUUUUUUAAAAGUUCUAUGGUCACUUCAUGAUUUUUAUUGUUAUUGUUGUUGGUAUUGGUGCAGCUUGGAUGUGGAUCUGGCGUCUCCGGGAUUUUUUCAUGCUUGAAGGUGAGUUCAUCUUUCAGGGUGCAUCAUGAUAAUGUCGAAUUAAUAAAGGGGAUAUUCUUGUUCCAAAUAGAUUUGUGCAUCUCUCUUCAUGGUGGGAGCUGAAAGAGAGAGAGAGAGAGAGAGAAACCUUGCAUGGAGAACAAUGAUCUGACUUCGCUUAA